CAAUAGCGUAUAUUAAAGUUGUUGCGGUUAAAAAGCUCGUAGUUGGAGUUCUGCCAGGUGCCGCCUGUCCGCCCCAGUGGUGAGUACGUGGCGCGCAUUUGGCCCUUUCAAGGGGAGCGUAUCUGCACUUUAUUGUGUGGUGCGGGAUCCUUGACUUUUACUUUGAGGGAAUAGGAGUGUUCCAAGCAGGCUCUCGUCGUGCACAGCUCAGCAUGGAAUAAUAGCAUUGGACCUCGAUUCUAAGCUGUUGGUUGCCAGAAGCGAGGUAAUGAUGAAGAGGGAUAGUUGGGGGCAUUCGUAUUUCAUUGUCAGAGGUGAAAUUCUUGGAUUUAUGAAAGACGAACUACUGCGAAAGCAUUUGCCAAGGAUGUUUUCAUUAA
rnacentral:rRNA from 1 species